rnacentral:rRNA from 1 species
CCUACGGGGGGCAGCAGUGAGGAAUAUUGGUCAAUGGCCGUAAGGCUGAACCAGCCAAGUAGCGUGAGGGAAGACUGCCCUAUGGGUUGUAAACCUCUUUUAUGCGGGGAUAAAGGUGUCCACGUGUGGAUGUUUGCAGGUACCGCAUGAAUCAGCUCCGGCUAACUACGUGCCAGCAGCCGCGGUAAUACGUAGGGAGCAAGCGUUAUCCGGAUUUAUUGGGUGUAAAGGGUGCGUAGACGGGAAGUCAAGUUGGUUGUGAAAUCGCUCGGCUUAACUGAGGAACUGCAACUAAAACUAAGUUUCUUGAGUGCUGGAGAGGAAAGUGGAAUGCCUGGUGUAGCGGUGAAAUGCGUAGAUAUUACGAGGAACACCAGUGGCGAAGGCGACUUUCUGGACAGUAACUGACGUUGAGGCACGAAAGUGUGGGGAGCAAACAGGAUUAGAUACCCCUGUAGUC